AACGAACGCUGGCGGCAUGCUUAAUACAUGCAAGUCGAACGAGAAAGCCCUUCGGGGUGAGUAUAGUGGCGCACGGGUGAGUAAUACAUGGGAACGUACCUUAGGGUGGGGUAUAACCACGGGAAACUGUGGCUAAUUCCGCAUAAUCUGGUAACAGGAAAGUUGGCCUCUGAUUUAAGCUAGCGCCCCUAGAUCGGCCCAUGUCCCAUUAGCUUGUUGGUAGGGUAAUGGCCUACCAAGGCUACGAUGGGUAGCGGGUCUGAGAGGACGAUCCGCCACACUGGGACUGAGACACGGCCCAGACUCCUACGGGAGGCAGCAGUAGGGAAUCUUGCACAAUGGACGAAAGUCUGAUGCAGCAAUGCCGCGUGAGUGAAGAAGGCUCUUGGGUUGUAAAGCUCUUUCGACAGGAAAGAAGGGUGUUUGAUCGAACAGAUUAAGUACUUGACGGUACCUGUAUAAGAAGCACCGGCUAACUCCG
rnacentral:rRNA from 1 species